rnacentral:lncRNA from 1 species
UCAUCCUACUUUCGAAGUGUCGAUAGAUAUUGGACCUACUGUAUCGGAUCGUGCGGGUAGGCUAUCUGAACGCGUCCGCUGCUUUCGUAAAGCCGAGUUUACGAAGCUCAAUAACUUAAUUAGAAAUUUUGAUUGGUCCGCUCUGUACUCGUGCAUUGACGUCAUUGAAGGCACAAACAUUUUUUACAAUGUACUUGACACAAUUUUUGACACGUGUGUCCCACUUUCAUGUCCGACUAGAUCUGCGAAACCUCCUUGGUUCACCAAAGAGUUAUCCAGUCUACAAAAUCUAAAAUCAA